UAAACGGGAGCGAUGGUGGAUCAGAUU
rnacentral:piRNA from 1 species